rnacentral:rRNA from 1 species
AUUGAACGCUGGCGGCAGGCCUAACACAUGCAAGUCGAGCGGAUGAAGGGAGCUUGCUCCUGGAUUCCGCGGCGGACGGGUGAGUAAUGCCUAGGAAUCUGCCUGGUAGUGGGGGAUAACGUCCGGAAACGGGCGCUAAUACCGCAUACGUCCUGAGGGAGAAAGUGGGGGAUCUUCGGACCUCACGCUAUCAGAUGAGCCUAGGUCGGAUUAGCUAGUUGGUGGGGUAAAGGCCUACCAAGGCGACGAUCCGUAACUGGUCUGAGAGGAUGAUAAGUCACACUGGAACUGAGACACGGUCCAGACUCCUACGAGAGGCAGCAGUGGGGAAUAUUGGACAAUGGGCGAAAGCCUGAUCCAGCCAUGCCGCGUGUGUGAAGAAGGUCUUCGGAUUGUAAAGCACUUUAAGUUGGGAGGAAGGGCAGUAAGUUAAUACCUUGCUGUUUUGACGUUACCAACAGAAUAAGCACCGGCUAACUUCGUG